UGCAUCAAUACACAUUUAAAUGUAAUGUAUAUUCAUUUGACGUUACUAGGAUCAGUAAAGCGUUUUUCCAAGUAUGGGGUUUUCAAAAUAACCGAGUUGAACGUUAACACUUAUGUCACCUUCGUUGGGUUAUAUGCGUCGUUGGUUAGUUUUUCGUGAAAUAUUUGGACAAAAUGGCCGCCUUGACACCUAGCGGCAAAAACUACAACUAUCAAGUUGGUAUUACUGUCGCUUGGAACAGAGAAACAAGACGGGGAAACAUUGCACUAGAAAAUUAUAGCGCCAUCUAGGAUCAAGCUAUAUUAUUCGUUCUUAUUCCCCUGCAAAAUGCGUAUGACGUCAUAAGCACAUCUGGUCUUAAAACUAAUACAGACCCGAACAAUGUUCAACAUCUUUUAUUACCACGUGUUUUACAGCGUUUUAUAAAGUCCAUUUGUUUUUAAACAAUAA